rnacentral:rRNA from 2 species
UUGAGUUUGAUGAUGGCUCUGAAUGAACGCUGUCCAAGUGCUUGACACAUGCUAAUCGAACGUCUAAUUUAAUUAAUGAUUAGUUUCAUCUAUUUCAUUAGAAGUGGUGUACAGGUGAGUAUAUAACAUUUUGGCUGCCUUAGAGUAAGGUUUAUAAAUACCUUAUAAUACGCAAUAAAAGGAAAUUAACUUCCGCUUUAAGAGGACAAUAAAUGUUUCGGAUAGGUAGUAGUUAAAGUAAUGGUUUAACUAGCUUAAAAUUCCGUAGUCGAGGCUGAGAGGUCGAUCGAUCACAUUGGGUCUGAAAAAACCCCAAUACGUAUAGUACAGCAGUGGGGAAUAUUGGUCAAUAGCCUAACGGCUGAACCAGCAACUUGGGAGAAUGUAUAGCUUCGGCUAGUUAUAUUUGGCUGUUUAAUUAAUCAUAUACAAAGCUUUGAAUUUGUAUAUAGGAGAUUAUUCACUUAUUGAUUCUUUUGACGCCGAUGUUUUCAAUAUUAAUUUACCACUCACCGUAAGGUGCACGUAAGUAAUACUUAAGUGGACAAAAUAACAUCGAUUUUAUCGAAUAAAGUUCUAGAUAGGAUACUGAUCAUGACAAUUUCCUGUCUAUAUGUCUUGACCAAAUUACGUGCCAGCAGUCGCGGUAAUACGUAGAAGACUAGUGUUAUUCAUCUUUAGUAGGUUUAAAGGGUACCUAGACGGUAUAAUUAGUCUAUAAUAGGAAACGGUUAUACUAGAGUUAUAUAUGAGAAGGUGAGUAUUUGUGGAGUAGAGUUGAAAUUCUUUGAUACCAUGAGGACUGGUAAAGGCGAAAGCAACCUUUUAUCUAAUAACUGACGUUGAGGGACGAAGGCUCGGGUAGCGAACAGGAUUAGAUACCCUAGUAGUCCAAGCAGAUAAUGAUGAAUGCCAUAGGUUAGAUAAUAUUUUAGUCUAUAAAUGAAAGUGUAAGCAUUUCACCUCAAGAGUAAUGUGGCAACGCAGGAACUGAAAUCAUUAGACCGUUUCUGAAACCAGUAGUGAAGUAUGUUAUUUAAUUCGACGGUACGCGAAAAACCUUACCACAACUUGAAUAUUAUAUUAAGUAAAUCUUAUCUUAUAAUAAGAGAUAUAAAAUAUAUUACAAGCGUUGCACGGCUGUCUUCAGUUAAUGUCGUGAGAUAUUGGUUAAUUCCAUUAAAUUAACGGAAACCCUUGCUUUAUUUGCGAUCUAAUCUAAAUAAAGCAGUUCACCAUCACAUCGGAUAUGAUAACAGGGACCAAGACAAGUCAUCAUGGCCUAAAUGUUGUGGGCGAUAGACGUGCUGCAUAUUCCUAUACAAAAUGAUGCAAUAAUGUGAAUUGGAGCUAAUCUAAUAAAGUAGGAUAAAACAUGGAUUGUAGUCUGUAAUUCGACUGCAUGAAUAAGGAAUUACUAGUAAUCGUGAAUCACCACGUCACGGUGAAUUUUAUCUCAGAUAGGUACUUACUACUCGUCAGGCGCCGAAAGAAGUGUGUGCAAUAAGUUUGGUCUUUCAUUUAAUUUUACUCUAGUCUAUUCGUUCUAGUUUUUUUUAUGGAAGAUUUUCGUAUGCGUGACUUUGAUUGGUGUUAAGUCGAAAUACGGUUCGUGUAGUGGAAAUUGCACGGGAUUGAUUAAUGUUAACAA